rnacentral:lncRNA from 1 species
CAAAGUUCUGUGUAAAUUCCCCACAGAGGCAGGUGUCACAGUUUCCCUGUAGAGGAUUUUUAGAAGGCUGCUCUCCAGAGAUUGCUCACUGCCUUUGUGCCUGGUGUUGUGACUAGGGUGGUAUAAGUUCCCUCACAGUUCCCAAGUGCUUCUAGAAGUUGUUAGUGAGCUUUGAACUCCCUUGUGGCUCUUCUGCAGUUGCCCCCAACAAGGGAACCCAGGAAGUAGAAAGUCAUCUCCCAGCACAAUGAACACCACUGAUAAAGAAAACUCAUCUGACCUUACAGAAAUAGAAGAUACAUCAGAGAUAAUAGAAUCAUCAAAGACAGAGGAUAUUGCUGAUGCCACACAGAACGUGGUGAAUGCCGAGAAAAAUUCAUUUUUUUGCCCGCUCUCAAAAUUGCUUUUAUCAGCUGACGCUUUGAUAAAGGAAAACGAAAAAAUCCAUAACUUAAGAAAACAUGAUAUUUCCAUUACAGAAGCAAAGAACUAUCUUCUUCAAGUCUUAAACAUCAUAUCACUAGAAACACUGAGUCAUAGAGUGCCAACAGAGUUUGCUCAGCCUAUUGCUUUCAAAGGCAAGUGUCAUAUUUCUGACCCAAAAGAAAUGAUUAAAAUCCUACACCGCACCUUAUUAGCAAUUAAUGGACCAGGAACAUUAACUGAAAACCGCUCAAUGCCUUCCAGAGCAAUUGCCUUGAUGAACAAAAUUUCCCUGCCAAUGCACAUUUUUCCUUAUGAGAUGCUUGCCCAUCAUUGUCUCCCUUUCUUGUUACCUUUCCUAAUAAGAGAUGACAUUCUGAAUGAGAAGAUUUUCUGUAGGAUAGUCCUUUUCAACAUCGUUCUUCCCAAAGGGAAAGUCUUCAGGCCGCAAGCAAAGAGACAAAAACAUUAUGAAAAAUUGCUCCAUCCAGAAAAACAAUUCAUGGAUCUGAAAGACCUCCAGCGGAAAUAUUAUAAGGGCAUUUUGAAGUGGAAACGAAAGUCCCGGAUGCUGUUCAAAGACCCAUCUUUUGUUAUUGAAAAGGCAUUUGUACCAGAAAUGAUCUCACUUGAUUAUAAACCCACCGUCAUUUUUAAGCUGGUCAGAAGUACUGAUUUUAAUUCACCAUAAAGAGUGGGUUGUUUGUAUUAAGUAGAAUCUUACAUUAAAUAAAACAAUGCACAUCUAUGAUGAUGAUUUUUUC